UGGGGAAUAUUGGACAAUGGGCGCAAGCCUGAUCCAGCCAUGCCGCGUGAGUGAUGAAGGCCCUAGGGUUGUAAAGCUCUUUCACCGGUUAAGAUAAUGACGGUAACCGGAGAAGAAGCCCCGGCUAACUUCGUGCCAGCAGCCGCGGUAAUACGAAGGGGGCUAGCGUUGUUCGGAUUUACUGGGCGUAAAGCGCACGUAGGCGGACUUUUAAGUCAGGGGUGAAAUCCCGGGGCUCAACCCCGGAACUGCCUUUGAUACUGGAAGUCUUGAGUAUGGUAGAGAUGAGUGGAAUUCCGAGUGUAGAGGUGAAAUUCGUAGAUAUUCGGAGGAACACCAGUGGCGAAGGCGGCUCACUGGACCAUUACUGACGCUGAGGUGCGAAAGCGUGGGGAGCAAACAGG
rnacentral:rRNA from 1 species